GAUGGCAAUGAUGAGUAUAUACAGACCUGUAAUGAUGUUUGCGGAUAUGAUCGCAUAGUUUAAUGAACAUCUAAGGGACUGAGCUAUU
rnacentral:snoRNA from 1 species